AGAGUUUGAUCAUGGCUCAGAUUGAACGCUGGCGGCAUGCCUUACACAUGCAAGUCGAACGGCAGCAUGAUCUAGCUUGCUAGAUUGAUGGCGAGUGGCGAACGGGUGAGUAAUACAUCGGAACGUGCCCUGUAGUGGGGGAUAACUAGUCGAAAGAUUAGCUAAUACCGCAUACGACCUGAGGGUGAAAGUGGGGGACCGCAAGGCCUCAUGCUAUAGGAGCGGCCGAUGUCUGAUUAGCUAGUUGGUGGGGUAAAGGCCCACCAAGGCGACGAUCAGUAGCUGGUCUGAGAGGACGAUCAGCCACACUGGGACUGAGACACGGCCCAGACUCCUACGGGAGGCAGCAGUGGGGAAUUUUGGACAAUGGGGGCAACCCUGAUCCAGCAAUGCCGCGUGUGUGAAGAAGGCCUUCGGGUUGUAAAGCACUUUUGUCCGGAAAGAGAUCGCACUUACUAAUAUUAGGUGUGGAUGACGGUACCGGAAGAAUAAGGACCGGCUAACUACGUGCCAGCAGCCGCGGUAAUACGUAGGGUCCAAGCGUUAAUCGGAAUUACUGGGCGUAAAGCGUGCGCAGGCGGUUGUGCAAGACCGAUGUGAAAUCCCCGGGCUUAACCUGGGAAUUGCAUUGGUGACUGCACGGCUAGAGUGUGUCAGAGGGGGGUAGAAUUCCACGUGUAGCAGUGAAAUGCGUAGAGAUGUGGAGGAAUACCGAUGGCGAAGGCAGCCCCCUGGGAUAACACUGACGCUCAUGCACGAAAGCGUGGGGAGCAAACAGGAUUAGAUACCCUGGUAGUCCACGCCCUAAACGAUGUCAACUAGUUGUUGGGGAUUCAUUUCCUUAGUAACGUAGCUAACGCGUGAAGUUGACCGCCUGGGGAGUACGGUCGCAAGAUUAAAACUCAAAGGAAUUGACGGGGACCCGCACAAGCGGUGGAUGAUGUGGAUUAAUUCGAUGCAACGCGAAAAACCUUACCUACCCUUGACAUGCCACUAACGAAGCAGAGAUGCAUUAGGUGCUCGAAAGAGAAAGUGGACACAGGUGCUGCAUGGCUGUCGUCAGCUCGUGUCGUGAGAUGUUGGGUUAAGUCCCGCAACGAGCGCAACCCUUGUCUCUAGUUGCUACGAAAGGGCACUCUAGAGAGACUGCCGGUGACAAACCGGAGGAAGGUGGGGAUGACGUCAAGUCCUCGUGGCCCUUAUGGGUAGGGCUUCACACGUCAUACAAUGGUGCAUACAGAGGGUUGCCAAGCCGCGAGGUGGAGCUAAUCCCAGAAAAUGCAUCGUAGUCCGGAUCGUAGUCUGCAACUCGACUACGUGAAGCUGGAAUCGCUAGUAAUCGCGGAUCAGCAUGCCGCGGUGAG
rnacentral:rRNA from 1 species